ACACCUGGAUGUGCUCACUCAACCAAGAAUAUAGAGAAAGAGCUUCUGCCCUGAGACUCAGAAAAAUAUUCUCCUGUGCUUCGGUUCAGUAUAGAUUUCUAGACCCUGAUCAUUGCUUAAGAGAUAUUCACUGAGGGUCCUACGUCUCUGCAAUUUGUGUAUGAAUAACAGAAUAAUUUCCCUCUUUUGUUUCGCCUUUCCUGUUCCUGAAUCUAAAUAAAGAUGGCUUUUUAGUAUUAAAAGUGGAAGAAAAUUACAGUUGCUGAGACAAAGGAAAACCCACUCCCUUGGAGGAGCAUGACCUUUUCCUGUAUUGCUUCCCACUGCUGUUGUUGAGCUCCUUGGACCUUGGCUUCUGGACACCAUCAUCAAGAAGACUUUAUGGAUGGGCUAUCCACCCACUGAGAGAAGAGGAGCAUCAGCUACAGUUUCUGUCUAGAUUGCCUUCUUCAUUUUGAGUAAUGACUGUCAGCAGGGUCAGAUUAAAGACAAAACAACUGGACAAUUGCUUGGAGGACUAAACUAUAAGGGCACUAACAUGUCAGUAGUAUGCUAACACAUCCAUGGAAAAUAUAUUUACCAGCCCUUCUCUCAGGAUUCUGUGUGGGGUUGGAAGGAAUGGUUUGUUAAAUUCCUUAGGGGUAGAAAGUAGGGCAUAAUCAGAAUACAGAGGAAUAUGCUGUUUCACUUCAGGGUUUCUGUUUUUCUUACUAGGAUAUAUAAAACAGGAGCUCUAGCUAGAUUGUUUAUGACCACAGAGGGCAGGCUGAGCACUCCCAUGGUCUUCCUGCUUGGCUCUUGCCCAUACAGAGCUCAGCCUUUCCUCUAAUAAAGAUUGAACAAGUAGUGGUCUGAGGGAGACACCAAUUCAUUACCCUACAUGUCUCUUCUCUGCACUCUAGGGCUUUGAUAAUAAAGACACUGGCAGACUAUCUGUCUUCCAUUUCUAUAAUGUGAGCCCUUAGGGAGUCUUCAUUCACUUGGGGGUGAGGGUCAUUGCUCACAGAGUAGUUCAAGUCAAAUGGAACUUGAACUCUUUGCCUAUGGGCCUGGUGGUCAGACUCUGUGUUGAGUUCAUUGGAUUAUUGGAGACACGAGGUAGAGCUGAACGCUUCAAAAAUAUUUGGCUAAAGGAUGACAUUGCUGGUUAUUUGUAGAUAAAGCCAUGAUGGAACCUGCUUGGAAUCAUGAAAUAUGGAACUGGUGGUCAUGUUUAAAAAUACAACUAAUAGUUAAGUACCUACUGGACACUGUAGAGACUUAGGGACAAGACAGACAUGGUUCCUGCCCCCAUGGAGCUUACACUGUAGCUUUCCCUUAGGUAUGAAGAACAGUGGCUACAACUAACAAAUGGCCACAAAGAUAUCAUUGAGCCAGUGUUCCAAUCAUUAGGGUAAUUCCUAUUUCCUUAAUCAUGCCUAUUGACCAUGUUCUAUAAGCCUGCAUUCUAUAAAUGGCCUAUGAGCAUGGGCUGUUUCCCCCCAGCAAGUUGUACAAAGUUCUGUGGUACCAGAGAAAGGGCUUAAGGUUAGCAGGGCCUCUGGGGAAGGACAUAUGUAGUGACUUGGGUUAGGAAACAGGAAGGGAUAGGAUUGAAGAACAGCUGUUGCUUCUGUUCUAUAUAGGAAACUGCAGCGUGAAAAAUUCUGGGCUGGGAAUUUUGAGACCUGGGUUUUAGUUUGUGUUCUAAUACUAACAAGCUAUGUGACCGUGGGUAAGUCACUUCACAUUCCACUUGGAUGCCUCUUGAGUGACUCCAGGCCUCUCCAGCUCUAAAACAUUAAGAUCAGGCCCUACGCUACAGCUGGCCAGUGUGUAAUUCUCCUGUUUCUAUGCUGUUAGGUCAAAUAGAUCUUCAAUAGUUACUUGAUUGUUAUUACUUUUUUCUGAAGUGGAUGUUUUAUCAAUGUUUUAGGAUACAGUGAGUCUGCUUCUGCCCUUUGGAGUUAGGAAGGUUGUAGGAAUAUACACUGUAGAGCAUAUGGGAGCUUUAUCCCCUCCUUUUUACCCCCCUACCUUUCUCCCUCUCCUUCCCUUCCUCACAUUUCUAUUGAGCAUAUGUCAUUGCCGUGUACCAGGUGUGUGCUAGAUUUGGAGAUACAAGGUAAACCUGAGACUUUCCCAGACUCCAGGAGACAAAACCCUAAUUUCUGUCAUCUGCUGGCUUUCUCUUUGGAAAGAAUCAACGAUAUCCCAGGGGAAUGUGCCCAUGUCCCAGGGUAACCAACUACAGACAGAUGCCCCAUUCUACUCAAACAACUUUUAGAGUGCCUUGAGAUACACAUCAGAUAAUUAUGCAGGGCCGGGCAUGGUGCUGCACACUUGUAAUCACAGCACUUUGGGAGGCCGAGGCAGCAGAUUGCUUGAGCCCAGGAAUUCAAGCAUAGCCUAGGGAACAUGGCAAAACCCCAGCUCUACAAAAAAAAUACACAAAUUAGCUGCGUGUGGUGGCCCAUGACUGUAGUACAAGCUACUCAGGAGGCUGAGGUGGGAGGAUUGCUUGAGCCUGUGAGGUUGAGGCUGCAGUGAGCCGAGAUCAUGCCAUUGCACUCCAGCCUGGGUGACAUAGGGAGACCCUAUCUUGGAAAAAAAAAAAAAAGAUAAUCAUUCAGCCCUAGAGUCAUUGUGAAAAGAUCUAUCUUCAGAUAUAAGGAAGAAACAAUUUUUUAUUUCUUAGGAUAAAUCUGUAGAAGGACCUCCAGACAGUGAAGGCCACUGACUACUUUAUACUUUGUAAGCCAUCCCUUCCCUGGUAGGAAGGACUACUUUCCAGUCUUACAAAGUACCUCUCAGCAAAUAGACGUUUUCAUAUAUACUGUGAUUGAUACAUCCCUAUGGCUGGUGACCUCUUUAAAAAGGAAAGAAAAAAGCCUAAUCAAACAAAAAGAUGUUGCUAGUAAUUCUUACCCUAUUGUGAAUCCUAUAUAAGCAAAUUUGUAUCUUUGUUUUUUCCAACAUUAGCAGAUCUAUUUGAUAUAUAUCUCUGAGUGCAGAAAAUAUUUUAUGGAAAAAUCAAUAUAUGGAAUUUCAAAUUCAGAAUUGCUGAUACACACUAUUUGGUUUCAGAAUUUUAUCCUAGGAAAUAGUAUUAGGGAUUUCAAUUUCUGGCUUAAAUGGUAGAAUUAAUUACUCUUAACUCUUAAUUUUACUUCUGAGUUGAGGUCAAGGAACAGGCAGACACCUCCAGUUAACGUCUAUACGUCUCCAUGGCCAAGAGUUUUAAUUUUCUCGUCUUCAGUUUUGUAGAUGUACAUCAUUACUAAAUGCAUUGAUUAGUAUUUUAUUUCCUCUCCUUGUCCUUACUUUCCCUCUGGUAAAUAUGUUAUAAACAGUGUAAGGCUCCUAAGAUAGAGUGGCUGGUAGGACUUAGAAGAGAAACAAAGGGCAUUGAUAACUCACAUAAAUGGAAAAUUGGCUCUGGAAUAAUUGACAACAUAUUCAAGUAUUUUAGUGCAGUGUCACUCUCAUUAAGAAGAAGACAAUCAGUAAAUCUAUGUGACUCUAAACAUUCUAAUGAAAGAGGAAUAUUCUGUCAAUUAUCUCACAUUUCUAAAUAUCUAGAUAUUGGCCACUGUAAAGACAAAACAUACAGAUGAUGGACUUGUCUUUCCACCUCUCAUUUGCAUGGUUUGGAGCAUUGUACCUCCAGCCAUUGACUCUAAGGCAAUUUAUAUUUGCUUCCUCUUCCCUCUUGAGAGAAAACAAAAAUCUUAUUUUUCCAAGCAAUUAAAACUCUUCUGCUUCAGCUAGGAUGAAAGAAUUAGGAGUUCUGUCUCCUUGUAUCUAAUUGCAUGUUUCAUCUUUCUUGUUUUAAUGAUUGACAGAAAACUAAUAAACUGAGACAUCUUUGAAUCCAGGUUGAAUGUA
rnacentral:antisense_RNA from 1 species